rnacentral:rRNA from 1 species
GACGAACGCUGGCGGCGUGCUUAACACAUGCAAGUCACGGGGGCCAGCAAUGGCAACCGGCGAACGGGUGCGUAACACGUGAGCAAUCUGCCGAUGUCGGGGGGAUAGCCGGCCCAACGGCCGGGUAAUACCGCAUACGCUUGCUUUGAGGAGUCUCGAGGCAAGGAAACCUCCGGGGGACAUCGAGGAGCUCGCGGCCUAUCAGCUAGUUGGCGGGGUAAUGGCCCACCAAGGCGAUGACGGGUAGCUGGUCUGAGAGGAUGGCCAGCCACAUUGGGACUGAGAAACGGCCCAGACUCCUACGGGAGGCAGCAGUGGGGAAUCUUGCGCAAUGGCCGAAAGGCUGACGCAGCGACGCCGCGUGUGGGAGGACGCCCUUCGGGUGUAAACCACUGUUGCCCGGGACGAACAUCCUCUUUCGAGAGGACUGACGGUACCGGGUGAGGAAGCACCGGCUAACUCCGUGCCAGCCGCCGCUGUAA